rnacentral:lncRNA from 1 species
GGAGACACUGUGUCUGUUUCCAGCUUUGUCCCAUAUGUGAAACCCUUGCACCUUUUGCUCAGAUUGCCCUUUCUGUAGGAAUAUGAGUAGUCCUUGGAGAAUUGUUUCUUAGCAGUGAUUCCAAAUACCAGAAAUUUCAUCUGUUAAUACUUGAAUGCAGACUUAGGGUGAGAGGUUUUCAGAAUCUUCUCCACUUCCCUUUCCAUCUCUUCCUUUUUCCUCUGGGUUGGUUCAUUGUUAAGAAGGAACUUAAGCUUUUAGUUUAGCAACUUCAGCUGAAAGAGAACUUUCCUGCUUGAAGAAAUGUUGGGUGAGCGAAGCUGGCAGUGUAGCUCAGUGGUAGGGUGUUUGAGCAGUAUGCAUGAGGCUAUGGGACCCUCAGCCAAGAGGGUGGAAGAGAUGUCCAGUGGCCUGUCUACUGUAGGAACUUUAGAAAGUCAAUGAUCAGUGCCAUCUAAACCAUGAGGAAGGAGGAUGAGAAAGAUCUAGCCUAAUAGAAGAAAAUUGAGUGAGAUGUGGUACCCCCAGAAAGGGAGAGAGGGAUACAAGCUUCAGAGUCAAAUGAGCAGUAAUGGAUUACAGGUCCCUUAUUCACAUGCAACUCAGGCUGAUUUAAAAAAAAAAUCUAGGUUAUUAUAUAGGCAUAUUUACUCCUGUUCUUUAAAAUAAUCACACCAUGAACAAGACAUUUUCUUUAAAAAUACGACCUUAGGAGUCUGUAAAUUUAUAUUAAAUAUGUGGCAUAAUUUAUAUAUCUGUUUGAUCAGAAUUCAAUUUUGAAAUAAAGGAUGUUUAUUGGAGAAGAGGAGAAGAUACAGGAAAAUGUAAUCGGGUCAGUGAGACAGUGGUGAUAAUUGGCGUUGUGUGUUUGUAGGGUGUCACUCACGUGACCCUGGAAUUAUUCCUCCAUUCUCCACUCCAGUGGCUCCACCUAGUCCCCGUUUCUGAAGAGAAACAUAUUUGAGAAGUGGGAAUUCUGUUUGGGUCUGAGUGCGUUAGAGAUGAGAAUCUGUGGCUCUGCAGAGGUCAGGGUGGGAGAUGAAGGUGAUGGCUACAGAUGACUCCACCAUUUCAGUUGUCCAGUUCAGUCUGCUGAGUUCUGGGGAGAAUGGUAGUGCGUGUGAAGUAAUACAAAGGGCAGAUUGUUAUUCACAGAUUUAUAGUAGCUUAAAAUACAGUCCCACUUGAGCAUGUCACUGAUGAAGUUGUUACUAAUUUUUAAAUGAAGCCACUUCAAUAUUAAUGAAAAUGCUUUUUCACUGAAAAAAAUUGUAGCGAAGACUUAGCUGGAAAUUUAGAGAAAGCACGUUGGUGCUUUGACUAGCUGUCUUGAGGCAUUUGAGCUGUUCAGUGUUGAACAUGGGUCUAGCUGAAUAGUUUUCUCUGUUUCAUGUAGUGUGUUGAGCAUGACCAUUUCACAGCAAAAGCCAGAUACAUGAAAUUCCAAAUAACUCAGUUAUCUGUACUGACAAGACAGUAAAAAUUUAAACCUCAAGAAUUAAAUGGAUGACCCCGUGAUUUAGGGGUAUAUUUGGAAAGGAACUAAUUAUUUAUACAAUGUAUACAGUGGUGCACACUUACCAAAAAUCUUAAAAAUGGGAACACUGGGUGCUAGGAACACUUGCUGUUCUUCCAGAGAACCUGAGUUCAUUCCCAGCACCAAUGCCCAGCGAUUCACACUGCCUGUAACUCUACCUCCCAGGUGUCUGACGUUCUUUUCUGACCUCCAUGGGGACUUGUACAUAUGUGACAUACAUAUAGACGAACAUACCUAUAUAUAAAUGAAAACAAGUGUACACAGGGCUUGGUACAUAUGUGACAUACAUAUAUAUAGACUAACAUACCUAUAUAUAAAUGGAAACAAGUGUACACAGGGCUUGAUGGCACACUUUCAAUUUCAACACAAAGGUAAAAUACAAUACUACAGCAGAGGCAGGUAGAUCUCAGAGGCAGUCAGAUCUGUGUGAGUUUCAGGCCAGUGUGCUCUACAUAGUGAUUUCCAGGUCAGCCAUGCUACACAGUGGCACCUUGCCUAAAAAGAAUC